rnacentral:rRNA from 1 species
UACGUAGGGUCCGAGCGUUGUCCGGAAUUAUUGGGCGUAAAGGGCUCGUAGGCGGUUCGUCGCGUCGGGAGUGAAAACUCGGAGCUCAACUCCGAGCCUGCUUCCGAUACGGGCAGACUAGAGGUAUGCAGGGGAGAACGGAAUUCCUGGUGUAGCGGUGAAAUGCGCAGAUAUCAGGAGGAACACCGGUGGCGAAGGCGGUUCUCUGGGCAUUACCUGACGCUGAGGAGCGAAAGUGUGGGGAGCGAACAGG